CUGUGCUGUUGCGACACUUCCCUCCACUACGUCGACUCUGGAGGAAUGGGUGUGUGAGGAAUGACUGGAACCACAGCACUCAGAUUGCGGCAGGCGGCAGUGGUCCAAGGAUAGGGAGGAAAGUGCUAUCAGGAUCAUUGGGAUCAUGGCCACUGUGAGUCUGGAAAGGCCUUUGUAUUCCCUUGGAAAGAUAAAGACAGAAGGAGAGAUCGGAGAACUGUGGACCGGUGGAGGAGUCAAUCUGUGAAGGAGACAAGGUUGAUGCUCUUCUUUAGGGAUUUGGAGAAUUUGGCUACUGUAUCAAGUAGGAUGUGUUAAGUUGAACAGCACUCUUCAAGGCAUAUGGAGCCCUGGCUCUUCUCGGCUACACCUGGACCAUCUCCUCAAGGUCAUCAGUUUGGAUGGAGGGACCUUCAGGAGACCCCACCUUGCUCCAGGAUUCCAGUUUACAGACCCAGAAUUUCCAAGUCACAGCUGCGUGACCAGAAAUCUCAUGAUCUCUGUAAACCUCAGCUGUUUUCGUUGUUGUCUGCUAAAGAGGAAGAAAAAUCCUACCUAAAAAGAUGGCAACAGGACUUUAGCCUCUGAUCAGGGCGAUCUGCAAGUUAGAAGGAGCAACCUCAGAGCUUGAGCAGGUCUGGAAUAGUUGGUGCUUGCAGCAGCCAGAAUGGAAAAGCCUCGUGGUUAGUCUGCCAGUGAGUGCAGAGAAGUAUUUAUUGCCGUAGGAAGGGGUAAAAUUAGCCUUAGACUAAAGGCUGUCCUGAUACCAUCUCACAAAGACUUAAAACAACCCCAGAAGGAACAAAUGGUUUCUAAAUUUUACCUAAUUGCUCUGCAGGAAAAAAAAAUAACAAUAAAACUCAGGCAUACUUGUAGAGUGUAAAAACAAGUCAUAAUUUAUGGUAUAGAAAAUUACCAGGCAUCAUCAGUCUGUGCCACAGCACCCUGAACAUGCCUGAUCUUGGAAGCUAAACCUGGUUGGGUCUGCUUAGUACUUGGGUGGUAGAAAGUGACCAAGAGCAGAGAAAUAAAGUACACAGUGAGAAAACAGUUCCCAGAAACAACAGAACAGCAAGGACAAAAGGACACGAGGAGAGUGAGGAGACGAGGACCCAUGUGAACACAUCCGAGGAAGAGGAGAAGACUGACUGAGCCGGGAGCUAGAAACACGGAGACAGAUGAGAAGUGAAGCUGGACUUCAGUGAAUGACAAGAUGUCGGACAGAAAAACCAAACAAAUGUACCGUUAACAGACGCUUAGGAAGUACAGCAGGCAGUGAGUCUGAAGACACAGUAACAGACAGUAUUAAAAAAUAAAUAAAAUAUCCAAAGUCCUGCCUGUGACCACUCCCAGCAUGCAAAUAUAUGUAGAUAUCAUGCUAAUAUAUGCAGCCAUAUGCUAAUGUAUGCUAAUAUCUAUGCCCAGAAAAAGAGUGUGGAGAUGGGAAAGAAAUAGUACCUUAAAUUUUUCCAAAAUUGAAGAUAACUGUAACCCACAAAGUACAAAAAAUAUGAAGGAACCUUUAUCAAGGGCCAUCAUAGAGAAGAUAAGAAAUACUUAAAACUAGUUUGUAAAAGGAAAAGAUACGUGUCCGGAAAGUGGUAUAAUAAAACUUUAAAAAUGAUUUUUUUCCCAUGGGCUUUAGAUGGCUCAGAGGUUAAGAUCACUUGUUGCUCUUAAUUUUGAUUCCCAGCACCCAUAUUGGAUGCUCGCAGCCACCUCUAACUCCAGCUUCAGGGGAUCUGAUGCCCUCUUCUGGCUCCUGAAGGCACCUGCAUGCAUGUGCCCAUCCCCCCCCCCCCCAUACACACAUACAUAUUAAAAAGUAAAAUCUGUAAAAGAAGUUUUCCAUAACUUAAAAAUGUACAUAAAUUCAAGAUACCGGUGAAGAAACAGAAUGGGUAUAAAUCAAUACAUGAGUGAUAAUGAAAUAGUUGAAAUUUAAAAGGAAAGAGGACAGGAAGGACACAGUCGAAGAACAAGGGAGAUGAAUGAACAGCAAAUGGCAAGAUGGCAGGUCACAGAGAAUGUGACUGUGCUGAACGCCCCUGGGAAAAGGCAGAUACUGUCCUGUUGAAAAGAAAAAGCUGCCUCCAACAAAUCCCCAGGAAAACACACGAGAUGGAAACGGGCCGUCCUGGUACUAAUGAGAAAGCUAGAGGGGUUAUUUUAACAUCAAGGUGGGUUUCGUAGUAAAGAUCCUCACUAAAGAGAGGAGUAAUUUCACAAUAACAAGGGCUGGGUGGGGUUAGAGAAUCGGCUCAGAAGUUAAGAGCACUGGCUGCUCUUUCCCAGGGCCCGGGUUCAGUUCCCAGCACCCACAAGAUGGCCAACAACUGUCUGGGACUUUAGUUCC